CUUCCUCUUGGACACCCACUUUUCUUUACAUAGAACUCUUCUAGACAUCCAUACAAAGUAGUUCAAGCUUUAUUUCCAAUCUUUAGACCAUAAAAUCAUAUAGAAAACCUUGCUGAAAGAUCACAUAAGUUGCUGGGAAGCUGUAGGAGUAGUUAACCAAUUGGAUUAAGGAGUUUCGUGGCUUUAAGGAUCCUUAGUAAAGAGUGAAAUAUUGUUGCAGGUUUGGUGUUGUGAGCUCAGGAUUCUGAAGUGAAGCAAGAUAAAGAUGUCGUCGUAGCUUCUGGAUUGAGUUUGUAUCUAGAUAGUGUAUUUGAGAUUAGAUAUUUAUAUUUCGUUCUCUACAAUAGUUGGGAAUAUUAGUCGAGAUAUCGGUGUA